CCUACGGGGGGCUGCAGUGGGGAAUAUUGGACAAUGGGCGAAAGCCUGAUCCAGCCAUGCCGCGUGUGUGAAGAAGGCCUUCGGGUUGUAAAGCACUUUAAGCGGGGAGGAAGGCCUUGAGACUAAUACUCUUGAGGAUUGACGUUACCCGCAGAAUAAGCACCGGCUAACUCUGUGCCAGCAGCCGCGGUAAUACAGAGGGUGCAAGCGUUGCGCAAAGUUACUGGGCGUGGUGCGCGCGUUCGGAGUUGAAAUCCCCGGGCUCAACCUGGGCACGGCAUCCGAUACUGGCUGACUAGAGUGUGGGAGAGGAAGGUAGAAUUCCAGGUGUAGCGGUGAAAUGCGUAGAGAUCUGUAGGAAUACCGAUGGCGAAGGCAGCCUUCUGGCCUAACACUGACGCUGAGGUGCGAAAGCAUGGGGAGCAAACAGGAUUAGAUACCCCGGUAGUC
rnacentral:rRNA from 1 species